GGCUCAGGACGAACGCUGGCGGUGUGCCUCAUACAUGCAAGUCGAACGAGAAGUACCUUCGGGUAAUGGAAAGUGGCGGACGGGUGAGUACAACAUAGGAAAUCUGCCCUAAAGCGGGGGACAACAGAGGGAAACUCCGUGCUAAUACCCCAUAUGAGCUUAGUUGAAAUACUAAUCUUGAAAGAUUUAUCACUUUGGGAUGAGCCUGUGCCUGAUUAGCUAGUUGGUGGUGUAAUGGACUACCAAGGCGACGAUCAGUAGCUGGUUUGAGAGGAUGAUCAGCCACAAUGGGACUGAGACACGGCCCAUACUCCUACGGGAGGCAGCAGUAGGGAAUUUUGCGCAAUGGGGGAAACCCUCGACGCAGCAACACCGCGUGAAUGUUAAGCCCUUCGGGGUGUAAAGUUCUGUCAAUAGGGAAGAAUAAAUGACUGUACCUAUAAAGGAAGCACCGGCUAACUCCGUGCCAGCCGCAGC
rnacentral:rRNA from 1 species